CAGUCGCCACGGUAAAACGUAGGUGGCGAGCGUUGUCCGGAUUUAUUGGGCGUAAAGGGAGUGUAGGCGGUCUUUUAAGUCUGAUGUGAAAGCCCACGGCUCAACCGUGGAGGGUCAUUGGAAACUGGGAGACUUGAGUGCAGAAGAGGAGAGCGGAAUUCCAUGUGUAGCGGUGAAAUGCGUAGAUAUAUGGAGGAACACCAGUGGCGAAGGCGGCUCUCUGGUCUGUAACUGACGCUGAAGCUCGAAAGCGUGGGGAGCAAACAGGAUUAGAUACCCGAGUAGUCCCUGUCUCUUAUAA
rnacentral:rRNA from 1 species